AUGGGCCUGGACUCGAGCCGCAUCUCCAGCACGGACAAGAACCUGGUCGCCCUUUACGCCGGCGGGUACCGCCCUGGCUCUAGUUUGCGGGGAGGCUAUCUCAUCUACGACGCCAGAGAAGACUCCCUCUCCGUCAUCCCCCGUCUCCCCGACAACGACAACGACUUGCAUGGAGUCAUGGGGCACCAGUCGGCCGUCGUCAUGUGCGACGCCCAAGGGGAGGGCUACCUUCUUGCCGAGCUCGUCAUGCCAGGAUUCUCCCAGGCCGGGGUCUGGCUGUGGAAGUCGUCCGCCCCAGAACCAGAAUGGGUCUUGCUGUCCGGGAGCCAUCCCCUUCCAUCCAGCAGAUUCUUCGUUGAUUUGUGCUUCUCUUACCGGGGCUCUAUCCUUUGCUGGGUGGAUCUGCUCAAAGGCAUGUUGCUCUGUGAUCUCAACCAAGACUGCUACAACAAGUUCAGCUUUAUCAAGUUACCACAAGAAUGUCCAGCCUAUGAUAUAAACCCCGAGUAUCCAGACAUCGUCCGCCCAGACGAGUUCCGUUCCAUGGCCUGUGUUUGUGCUGCACACAUCAAGCUCAUCGCCUUGGAUGAAUAUGGAUUGGAACUCAUCCUCUGGACGCUGUCGCCUGACCUCUCGGGCUGGAUCAUGACCUGCAAGUACAAUGUCGAAAAAAUCUGGGCAAACGUGAGCUACCAGUCUGCUGGUUUGAGACAGCUUGCUCCGUCGCUCCCUGUCCUCAGCAUCCAUCAAGACGGCGUCGUCUACUUAGUCGUAAAUGACGAAAGCAUCGUCGACCGUCGACUGGUGCACAAAGGCCAGUAUUUGCUUCGUGUCGACAUGGAGAAGGACGAGGUCCACGUCUCUCCACAGCCUACAAGGCACCUACCAGCAGCUUACCUCAUCAACCCGGCCAUGGAGGUUACCAUAUCUGUAGUUGCAAGUGAACUAGUGAGCCUAUUCGUCUCCUUCCUGAUGAGCAAGUACCACUCCUCCAGCCAUGCACAAUCAGAGGAGAAGGUGGUGGACAGGUUGCAGCAUCUCCUGAUAAGAGUUGGCACCAUGGUCAAGGAGGCGGACAGUCAAUACAUAAGCAACUCCAGGAUGAUGAUGCAGCUCAAGAUGCUCCCGGAGGACACCGUCUGCUUGAUACCUCGAGCGGAGAAAGACGACAAGGCCAUGCGCCUCAAGCCACAUGGUGCUUUGGAGAGCUUAAAAAUUGCUGUUGCUAACAACCAACACGCUGAAAAGAAAAGGCUCUUGAGCUUCUUGCUGGAGCAGAACGAUCCUCCAAGUGAUCAUGUAUUGGACGUUCUUCCGCUCAUAGGUGGUGUCGCAGUUGGGAAGAAAACUUCGGUUGCUCAUGUUUGUGGUGAUGAUCUGAAUAAGAACCUGAUCAAGGACUGGGGAUCUAUGUUGUUCCAUCUCUCUGCGAGACUGUAG
rnacentral:rRNA from 1 species